rnacentral:rRNA from 1 species
AUUGAACGCUGGCGGCAGGCUUAACACAUGCAAGUCGAACGAGUGGCGGACGGGUGAGUAAUGUCUGGGAAACUGCCCGAUGGAGGGGGAUAACUACUGGAAACGGUAUCUAAUACCGCAUACCAUCGGAUGUGCCCAGAUGGGAUUAGCUAGUUGGUGGGGUAAAGGCUCACCUAGGCGACGAUCCCUAGCUGGUCUGAGAGGAUGACCAGCCACACUGGAACGGAGACACGGUCCAGACUCCUACGGGAGGCAGCAGUGGGGAAGAGUGCACAAUGGGCGCAAGCCUGAUGCAGCAAUGCCGCGUGUAUGAAGAAGGCCGUCGGGUUGUAAAGUACUUUCAGCGAGGAGGCGUUACUCGCAGAAGAAGCACCGGCUAACUCCGUGCCAGCAGCCGCGGUAAUAC